ensembl:lncRNA
CUGCUUUAUUCAUAAUAGCCACAAAAAAGGGGAGACAAUCCAAAUAUCCAUCAACUGAUGAGUAAAUAGACAAAUGUGGUAUAUCCACACAAGGGAAUAUUAUUCACCAAUAAAAAGGGGAAACACUACUGAUACACGGAACAACAUGGAUCGAUCUCAAUAGUAUGCUAAGUAAAAGAAGCCAGACACAAGGAACUAAUCUGAAAAAGGCAAAACUAUAGUGAAAUGAAGCCAAUUGAGGCCAAGGGGUGGUGAAUGGGAUAGGCUGCAAAGGGACCUGCGAGAACUUUUUGGGAUGAUAAAAAUAUCCUAUAGUUUGACUACGGAGGUGAUUACACAACUGCACAUUUUGUCAAAGCAUAGCAAACAAUGAACUUAAAACUGGUGGAUUUUAUGGUGUGCAAAUUAUUCUUUGGUAAAGUUGCCUAUUGAAAAGUCAUUUAUAUUUUUAUAUAUCAGCAACAAUCUUUUAUAACAUGGAAUUUUAGAAGGUGCCAUUUGUAAUCAUAUCAAAAAAUCUGAGGUGCUUGGAAAUUAACAAAAUACAUUAAAGAAUUCUAUGAGAAAAGUAUACAUAUUGAGAAGCACUGAAGAAUAUCUAAAUAAAUGAGACAACAUUUCAUAUUUAUAUUUUACAUUUAUAUUCCAUGCAACAGGUUCUUUUUUAAAGUGUUGAAAUGCAAAGACUCAAGAAGUAGAAUUCACGCGGGCAGGGCAUGGCCUAGCAGAUAUAAAGACUUGCUAUAAAGCCUUUGUAACUAAGAUGAUAUAGUGUUAGUGAUGAGAUAGGUAAACUAAUGGAACAUGAGAGAGCAGAAACGAACAGAACAGAACCAAACAUAUAUGACAUUUGACAUAUGAAAGAAGUGACACUGCAGAGCCGUGGGGAAAAGAUGAACUUUUCAAUAAACGGUGCUGCCACAAUUGAGUAUCUUCAUGGGGAAGAAGUGAAACUGGAUCUCUACCUCAUACCAUACAACAAAAUUAAUUCAAUGUAUGUUGAAGACCUAAAUAUGAAAGGUAAAACUAUAAGAUAAUCUUUUAGAAAAUCUUAACAAGACCCCCAAAAAACUAACUUAAAUGAAAAGUCUGAUAAAUUGGAUUAUAUUAAACUUAAGACCCUAUUAAGAGAGUAAAACAGACAAGUGAAUCAGUCGGGGUUCUCCAGAGAAACAGAACCAAUAGGAUACACAUAGAAAAACAGAAAGAGAUCUAUUACAAGGGAUUAGCUCACGUGAUUACAGAGGCUGAGAAGUCCCGCAAUCUGCCAUCCGCAAGUUACAGGUCCAGGAAAGCCAGUGGUGUAGUUUAGACCAAACUUGAAGGCCUGAGAACCAGGGGUAGCAAUGGUGUAAGCUUCAGUCCAGCCCGAAGGUCUGAGACCAGGAGUGCUGAUGUCAGGAGGCAGGAGAAGAUGGACAUCCCAGCUCAGGCAGAGAGAAAAUUCUCCCUCCUCUGCCUUUUUGCUCUAUUCAGGCCCUCGAGGGUUGGAUGAUGCCCACCUGCAUUGAUGAGGGUGAUCUUCUUUACUCAGUCUGAUUCAAAUGCUAAUAUCUUCCAGAAACACCCUCACAGGCACAACCAGAAAUAAUGUUUUACCAGCUAUCAGGGUACCCCUUAGCCCAUUCAAACUGACACAUAAAAUUAACCAUCACAACAAGCCGAAGACAACUUGUGACACAUGAGAACACCAAAAGACUGGAAUAUAGAUAAUAAAAUUAAUUCUUACAAAUCAACACAAAAAAACACAGACAACUCAAUAUAAAUCGGCAAAAGACAUUAUUAGGCAUUUCACAAAAGGGAAUAUCCAACUGGCCAAUAAAUGUAUGAAAAGACGAUCAAUCACAUUAGUCAUUAAAAUAAAAAUGAGAUAUCAUUACUCAUCCACCACAUUAGGGGGGGGGAAAUAAAAAACAGAAAACCCAACAACAAUCUGUGUGUUGACGAGAAUGUGGAGCAAUCGGAACUCUCAUAUGCUGAUAGCAGCAAUAUAAAUUGGUACAAUCAUUUUGGUUACCAGUUUGACCUUAUGUAAUAAAAUUAAGCAUUCUCAUAUUCUAGAACCAGCAACUCCACUACAAGGUAUACAGGACUCUAGAGGAACUCUUGGGUGUGUGUGCCAGUGCCUUAGCUUAGGUGCCUCCAGAGAGUGGAGCCUGAGACAAGGACUUGCACACAGGUGGUUUACUCUGGGAUAUAGUCCUAAAGAACAGGAGUGGGGGCCUAGAAUGAUUGGAACAUGGAGGAAGGAAAGCCAUUCUAAGGGUGCAUCAUGAGUCGGUUACCACUGUGAACACCCGAGGCUCAAUCCUGUUGGACGCUCACUGAGGAACUGUGUAGAGUCACCUUCAGAAUUGUCUGCUUGUGACUUGGAGGUGGGGAGCAUUUAUCCUCUGGCUCCUGUCCCCACUGGUCAAAGCUGUCCCAGUGGGUAUGAAUGUUCUGCACUCCUAGGUUUUCA